ACAUCAUCCUUAGUGAAUGUUAAUUGAGUACCUGCUAUAAAAGCUGGAGAUGUUUUCAAGAACCUCACAAUCUUCUCAAAACUUUGGAUUUCUGGAGUUACUUGAAGGUGCUUUGCCAACUCUUCAGUCAAAAUGAAUUCAAUGAUAUCUACCUUAUGCUUCUUGACUUUGUUGUUCUCAGUGGCAAUAAGUGCAGGCCCUGUUACAGCAGCUGGUUAUUAUUCAGGCUAUUAUGGAAACAACUAUCCUUACAGAUACGGAGGUUAUAAUAACUUUCUAAACGGAGGACUUUAUCCAGGGGUAGCUUCUCCAUUGACAGCUGCUGGAACUGUUGCAGCGUACAACUAUGGUGGUUAUGGUGGCUUGGGAUAUGGAUACAACUACGGGUAUGGGUAUCCUCUCACUUCAGGAUACUAUUCAGGAUAUCCAUACGUGAAGAAAUGAGAGCACGGGGAUAGCUAGAUGGAUUUUAGCAGUCUUAAUCACAUACAAGCAGUGAUGAGAUGAGAAGUUGAGCAGAUUUACUAUUGAAUUUGCUGUUGAAAUGGAUAAAAGCAUCACCGUACUUGAAGAAAAACGAGUAUUUAAGUGGAAAUUGAUGCUGCUUUUGUGAAGCACUGUAAAUAGC